rnacentral:pre_miRNA from 1 species
AGAUAUGUUUGAUAUUGUUGGUGGUUUCUUGUCGAUAUCUCACCCAAUACCAAACAUGUCACU